rnacentral:lncRNA from 1 species
CACUCAUUGAUCCAAAAGACCCUUCUGUACCAGGUGUUCAGUCCUGAGCAAGGAUGAUGGGAGCAAUCCCUGCAGCACUGUCAAAGCCCAAAUGUCUCUUCCUGGGUCAUCCUUCUUUUAGGCAUAGAGCUCCCUUGUGGGCAAGCAGGGGACAGACUCUGGUUUCCUGGGCAGAUACAAUGUGUUGCCAUGCAGGAACGCUUCCUUUGAUUUGAACAGUUUAAACAAUCUGCCACAUAUAUGGUUUUAGCUAGCCUUAAUAAACUACCUUCUUCAGGAUUUAGGAAAAUGUAAAACAAAAGUUUUUUUAUUUUCACCUCUACAAUUUUAUUCUGAAAAUGCAGAUAAAACAUCUUUCCCUUGUUUCUCCUGUCGACAGCCAGAAAGCUAACAGACAGGGUUUAGAUUACCAUGUCACAGGAAAGCAAAAAAAUAUAAUAACAUCCAUGAGGGGAAGAAAAGCAUCAUUUCUUUUCAAGAAAGCCCAUGAAAGUCAUUUUCUAGAAACCCAAUCUCCAGUUAAUUGCUUUCUCUUUGUUCUGUGACCACCUAAACGUUUAGCCGUUUCAUUUCGUGAUCGCUACAGUCUAGGAUGGCUCGAAGGCAUGAGACGUUGCAGCAGAUGCAGAAGCCAUUUGGCAUAUAAAACAGUCACUCCAGUUCUUUCAACCAAGAGUUCAUAUUCUUUCAUUUGAUGGCUCACUGAGCUUUCUAACGCAAAGUGCACAUCUCAGACGUUCUGCAGGGAGAAAAGAAGACAAAAGUGCAAUGGUGAGAACGUUGAUUUAUUUCCAGGAAUAAGUACUUUUGCACUGAAAUAUUUCUGCUGUAUGUUCACAAAAGCAUUAAAGGCAACCAACCUGCAUUGUUCGAGUUCGCAUUUGGCAACACAUCCCUAAGCAGAAAAACACACUGGAGGCAGUAGAACCCUGACAUUUCCAUCCACAAAAAACCAGUCAACAAUAUUAGAAUGAGAUAUAUAGAAUAGAAAUUUAAAAUCUGGCACACAAGAUCUUUCUUCUUUGCACAAAGAAAAAACUAUCAGAUGAGAAUAGUGUAAAUGUGGGAAAGCACACCUUUAUCUUGGCCAUUUGACAAUCCUGAAUCAACUGUAUGCUUUGACCUUCACUCCUGACACUCUCUCAUUCACUCUUUUCGACUGCUGCUUUUAUUCAUUUUUUAAUCUGAAGUAACCUAAGUGGUGCCGUGUACGCUCUCCUAGUCUUUAAUCCUUACAUGGAUAAACACGUGUUUCACCUAUUCCUAACCAUGUUCUCAACCACUGUUCUCAUUUGGUUUUAAGCAACAUCAGGUGGAGAACUUUCAAAAAAGGAUUUGCAAUCUCAUAACAUUGUCCAAUCCUACAUAAACCUUCUAUUUUUUAAAAGUUUCAUUAUCUCCAUGGCACUAAUCGUAAGAAGAAUUUAUACUUUAUAUUAAUGUAUUUUACAUUGCUAAAUUAAAGGGAAGAAAACAAUAAUCAGCAUUCACAGAAAUCCUGGAAAGAUCAGAUCAAGUACAAAAAUAAAAUCUCCUUC